rnacentral:rRNA from 1 species
CUGCGCAAGUUCAAGGUGAAAUCCCUCGGCCUAACCGAGGAACUGCCUUUGAUACUGGAAGUCUUGAGUUCGGGAGAGGUGAGUGGAACUGCGAGUGUAGAGGUGAAAUUCGUAGAUAUUCGCAAGAACACCAGUGGCGAAGGCGGCUCACUGGCCCGAUACUGACGCUGAGGCACGAAAGCGUGGGGAGCAAACA